rnacentral:rRNA from 1 species
UACGGGGGGGGCAAGCGUUGUUCGGAAUUACUGGGCGUAAAGGGCUCGUAGGCGGCCAACUAAGUCAGACGUGAAAUCCCUCGGCUUAACCGGGGAACUGCGUCUGAUACUGGCGAGCUUGAGUGCAGGAGAGGAACGCGGAAUUCCAGGUGUAGCGGUGAAAUGCGUAGAUAUCUGGAGGAACACCGGUGGCGAAGGCGGCGUUCUGGACUGCAACUGACACUGAGAAACGAAAGCCAGGGUAGCAAACGGG